rnacentral:rRNA from 1 species
GUAAUCGCGCAUCAGCCAUGGCGCGGUGAAUACGUUCCCGGGCCUUGUACACACCGCCCGUCACACCAUGGGAGUCGGUAAAACCCGAAGCCUGUAGUCUAACCGCAAGGAGGACGCAGUCGAAGGUGGGAUUGAUGACUGGGGUGAAGUCGUAACAAGGUAAC